GGGGGGAGCAAGCGUUGUUCGGAUUUACUGGGCGUAAAGGGCGCGUAGGCGGCCACCGCAAGUCGACUGUGAAAUCUCCGGGCUUAACUCGGAAAGGUCAGCCGAUACUGCGGGGCUAGAGUGCAGAAGGGGCAACUGGAAUUCUCGGUGUAGCGGUGAAAUGCGUAGAUAUCGAGAGGAACACCUGCGGCGAAGGCGGGUUGCUGGGCUGACACUGACGCUGAUUGUGCGAAAGCUAGGGGAGCGAACGGGAUUAGAUACCCCGGUAGUCCUAGCCUUACACGAUGAAUGCUUGGUGUCUGGGGUUUUAUAGUCCCCGGGUGCCGUUGCUAACGCUUUAAGCAUUCCGCCUGGGGAGUACGGUCGCAAGACUG
rnacentral:rRNA from 1 species